UACCCGCAGCACAAGUGGUGGUCAUUAUUAUUGGGCCUAAAGCGUCCGUAGCUGGCUUGUUAGAUGCCUGGGUAAAUCGAUGCGCUCAACGUAUCGAAUUCCGGGUAGACCGGCAAGCUCGAGACCGGGAGAGGUGUAGGCUACUCGCGGGGUAGGGGUAAAAUCCUGUAAUCCUGCGGGGAGGACCAGUGGCGAAGGCGCUACACUAGAACGGCUCUGACAGUGAGGGACGAAGCCCUGGGGCGCAAACCGG
rnacentral:rRNA from 1 species